AGCAGUUUUGUCACACAGCGGUUCACAUACAAUCACCAAAGUUAAGCAACAUUGAGCCUGAUCAGUACCUAGAUGAAUGACUGCUUGGGAAUACCAGGUGCUGUAAG
rnacentral:rRNA from 1 species